AUUGAACGCUGGCGGCAGGCUUAACACAUGCAAGUCGAGCGGGGUGAUGGUGCUUGCACUAUCACUUAGCGGCGGACGGGUGAGUAAUGCUUAGGAAUCUACCUAUUAGUGGGGGACAACAUCUCGAAAGGGAUGCUAAUACCGCAUACGUCCUACGGGAGAAAGCAGGGGAUCACUUGUGACCUUGCGCUAAUAGAUGAGCCUAAGUCGGAUUAGCUAGUUGGUGGGGUAAAGGCCUACCAAGGCGACGAUCUGCAGCGGGUCUGAGAGGAUGAUCCGCCACACUGGGACUGAGACACGGCCCAGACUCCUACGGGAGGCAGCAGUGGGGAAUAUUGGACAAUGGGGGGAACCCUGAUCCAGCCAUGCCGCGUGUGUGAAGAAGGCCUUAUGGUUGUAAAGCACUUUAAGCGAGGAGGAGGCUCUUUUGGUUAAUACCCAGAAUGAGUGGACGUUACUCGCAGAAUAAGCACCGGCUAACUCUGUGCCAGCAGCCGCCGUAA
rnacentral:rRNA from 1 species